UACGAAGGGGGCUAGCGUUGCUCGGAAUCACUGGGCGUAAAGGGUGCGUAGGCGGGUCUUUAAGUCAGAGGUGAAAUCCUGGGGCUCAACUCCAGAACUGCCUUUGAUACUGAGGAUCUUGAGUUCGGGAGAGGUGAGUGGAACUGCGAGUGUAGAGGUGAAAUUCGUAGAUAUUCGGAAGAACACCAGUGGCGAAGGCGACUCACUGGACACAUAUUGACGCUGAGGUGCGAAAGCGUGGGGAGCAAACAGG
rnacentral:rRNA from 1 species